UACGUAGGGGGCGAGCGUUGUCCGGAAUGAUUGGGCGUAAAGGGCGCGUAGGCGGCUGAGCAAGUCUGGAGUGAAAGUCCUAUUUUCAAGGUAGGAAUUGCUUUGGAAACUGCAGUUCUUGAGUGAUGGAGAGGCAGGCGGAAUUCCUAGUGUAGCGGUGAAAUGCAUAGAUAUUAGGAGGAACACCAGUGGCGAAGGCGGCCUGCUGGACAUUAACUGACGCUGAGGCGCGAAAGCGUGGGGAGCAAACAGGAUUAGAUA
rnacentral:rRNA from 1 species